rnacentral:rRNA from 1 species
UACGUAGGGGGCAAGCGUUAAUCGGAAUUACUGGGCGUAAAGCGUGCGCAGGAGGUUGUGCAAGACAGAUGUGAAAUCCCCGGGCUUAACCUGGGAAUUGCAUUUGAGACUGUACGGCUAGAGUGUGUCAGAGGGGGGUAGAAUUCCACGUGUAGCAGUGAAAUGCGUAGAGAUGUGGAGGAAUACCGAUGGCGAAGGCAGCCCCCUGGGAUAACACUGACGCUCAUGCACGAAAGCGUGGGGAGCAAACAGG